rnacentral:rRNA from 1 species
AUUGAACGCUGGCGGCAUGCCUUACACAUGCAAGUCGAACGGCAGCACGGGAGCAAUCCUGGUGGCGAGUGGCGAACGGGUGAGUAAUAUAUCGGAACGUGCCCAGUCGUGGGGGAUAACGCAGCGAAAGCUGUGCUGAUACCGCAUACGGUCUAUGGAUGAAAGCGGGGGAUCGCAAGACCUCGCGCGAUUGGAGCGGCGGAUAUCGGAUUAGGUAGUUGGUGGGGUAAAGGCUCACCAAGCCGACGAUCUGUAGCUGGUCUGAGAGGACGACCAGCCACACUGGAACUGAGACACGGUCCAGACUCCUACGGGAGGCAGCAGUGGGGAAUUUUGGACAAUGGGCGCAAGCCUGAUCCAGCAAUGCCGCGUGCAGGAUGAAGGCCUUCGGGUUGUAAACUGCUUUUGUACGGAGCGAAAAGGCUCUCUCUAAUACAGGGGGCUCAUGACGGUACCGUAAGAAUAAGUACCGGCUAACUACGUGCCAGCCGCCGCGGUAACAC